rnacentral:lncRNA from 1 species
UCAGAGGAGGGUUUGAGCCUUCUUGUUUCUAGAAACCUUCUGAGGCUCAUGAAUGGUAACAUUCGUCACCUCAGGGAAGCUGGCAUGUCAACCUUCAUCCUCACUGCUGAACUUGCUGCUGCUCCUUCAGCAGUUGGACAAUGAAGCCAUCACAUGGUAUGUUCGCUAGUUUGGGUUAAGGUAGUCUGCUGUGUUUGUUUCCACUCAACUGUUUUUUUAACAUAAAACUGUCAGGAGUUUUGCCAGAAUUAUAUAUUUAAACAAAGAAGGGGAACUGCUGGUUAUAUAGACCUACUUUCUUGAUUUUGCCCUGUAACCUCUGUUACAAACAUUAAAGUUUUUUUUGUGACUGAUACCUGCCACAAAAACAUGUGACCUUGAUUCGCUUAGCUAAGGAUAAAAUAGCUCUGCAAUUUCCCAAAUCUCCUACUAUGGUUAUUUGAUGAAUGAACAAGAUACCCAUGUUCUUUCUAUAUGAGGGGUAAAGAUACAUAGAUCUCCUGCAUAUUCUCGGAAGGAAACAAUACAGAACAGAGGAUAACAAUUAUGGCUAAUUCCAAUUAAUUGGUUUAUGUGUAUUGUUUAAUGUGCACUUCAAGCAACUCUUUGCUAAAGAAUUUUUUUUCUGCCCUUGAUACCAGCUCUCUCAGAGUUCAUUCUGAAAGCCACGGUGGUUUGCGGAGAAUGGGAAAUGCUGCAGCGCGUUGCAUCACCGAAUGCAUAAGAAAUAAGAUUGACUUGUAUGGUUAUUUGUUAGGGGGGGAAAGUUGUACUGGCAUAGACGCAUAGUAAGGUUCCAUACUUCUGCUCUGUUUGUGCCUGUAAACCAACUGUGCAAGUUUUAAACUUCCAGAAACAAAGAAAAAACCAAGUUCAAGUUAAUAUGAAUAAUAAAGUGUUUUUAUAAAAAAGUGAUAAAUUAUUAAAUUUAGCGGCAGCUUUGGUGUCUUAUUUCUGCCUACGCUCCCACGCUCUGUGUAUGUGGUGGUACAGUAUACUGGUGUAGCUAUGCCUGGUGGGCUAACCACGGCUCUUGUUCAGCCUUCUUGUUCAUAGUUUACACUCUGGAAAGCUCCUUGGUAUUCUAAUGUGAUUUGAGUUGACUAUUCUGAAAAAAAAAAUGCAGUGCGCUACCUGUGUUCUGAGGAUAAAUGUGUAGGAUUAGAAGAUGGUGCAUAAAGUACCCAUGAUAUAUUCAUCCUUUGGGUUUUGAGGGAUAUAAAUAAUUAGUGAAUUCGUUUCUACAAAGAUAAGGCUCCCUUUCUCGUUCUGAAUGGAGAAUGGUGUGGCAAUGCCCAAUGCGGCGACGCAGCCCAGAUCAGGUAGUACUCAUAGAAACGUCCAGAUUUCAUUGCCCAGAACAGAGUGCGGUUGCAGUGUAUAAUAUGUUACUUCAGAUUUGAUGUUUCACAGAAUGUCAGAUGUCAAUCAUCCAAUCUUAGUAUCCUAUAAAUAAAGGCACUGUCGAUAGUUUUGUAACCGGCGACAGGUGCGACCUGCGAGCAAGCACUUUCACAGAUUUAGCAAGAAGACCGUAGUAGCCAAGGGGAGGACCGCCGUACCAUACGCGCAGACCGGAGCAGAGGUCGAAGACUAGGAGCGUCUGCGUCUCUGAACAGCUCGGUAGCAGACGGCCUCCGUCCUUCCGCCACUGCCAUGCGGUCGCGGCAUUGCGUCUCCCCCUCUCGGAUCUCUCACCUUCUUCGCAUUCCCUUGCGGGGCUUCGGGAUGGCGAAGCCAUUGGUGGCUGGAGCUGGAGACGGUGACGUCCUUGCGGCGGUGUCAUAAUGGAGGUGGCCUCGGGGUGACCACUGCGGCACCGCAGCCGGUGGCGAAGCCAGAAGAUUUCAGGAGCCCGAGCAAUUUUCAUUAAGCAAAAAUAUUUAACUAUAAAAUCACAGAAUUUUAUAUAAAUAUAAAGAAGAUUUCUUUUGCAUUUUAGCGAGGAGCCCGACCGGCCACCCGGGGUGGCCGGGCGAUGGCUCCGCCAGUGACCGCAGUCAGUCAAAACUCAAAAGGACGUUGCGGCGGCGGUUGGAGAAGAUCUCACUCAUGGUUGACUCUUGACUGUCGUCGUUUCUAGAAACCCACUACACGAAAUUAGCAAAUCUCCAUUAAAAAUUAUAAAUCUCUUUAAUUUUUUACAUUAAACUAAAAUAAAUUUACUUGUAAGACCAGAGAGAAGUAACAAGGACUAUGCAAAUGACCAAAAUACUCAUAUAGUUGAUAUGACAACACACUGGUGUUGCGCUUUUGCGGACGAUGCGGCAACUUCUAGUGAACUUCUGGUGACCUCGUGCGUGAACGAGUGGUGGAGACUCGUUAGGAUGAUUUUUUUAGAAGUCUCUUGCGUGAGCUGAUAGCAGGUCUGGAAGGUGUUGUUAGCUACUCCCUCUCUCCCAAAAAGAGUGUCGUUUUAGGUUUUCGUGCCACAAGUUUGACUCGAUUUGUAGAAAAUAUGUGCAAUAUUUGUGUCUCCAAAUAAAUUUGUUAAAAAACUAGACUUUAAGAUCUUUCUAAUGAUACUAAUUAUGUACUAUAAAUAUUAAUAUUUUUUACUAUAUAUUUAGUUAAAGUUAUUUCUUGGGAAGCGCAAACGACACUUAUUUUGGGACGGAGGGAGUACAUUACACAAAUACGGGUACGAGUAUCCGAUACAAUACGUAUCAGAUACACAGAUACACACUUUCUCAAAAGAAAACCCACUAAAAUGGUGUAUCUAAGUAUCCGUAUCUGUAUCCGCGUAUCCGAUGAGUAUCGGAUAUGGAUACGUCACCCCCCUUAGUGUAUCCGUGUAAGGCUGUUAGUGUGGGUCCCUCAUCUUAGGUCUAGAGUAUAGCUAUGCACACAACUUUAGCAUUUAUUUGUGGAAAAUUUUGAACUCGUCGAUUGCAGUAUUUUGGAGUAUCUAAAUCUACCUUAUAUCUAGAUAUUUAGCAAAAUUGAUGAAUAAUUUAGAACAAAUGACGUAACAAUCUAUCCACUUUUGGUAGGAACACCCAUAAAUAGUCUAAGUACAUGCUUGUUGUAUAAGGCUCAACACUCGCCCCUCCUCCUCCUCCUCGUCAGCCCCCGCACCUCUCUCUUCCCCUCUUGCUCAAGAGUCACCGGUUGUGCCAGCCUCAUGCUCUCCCACGAUUGGGCCUUGAAGAUCUCCUCCGAGGUCCUUGCCGCUUGUGUGCCUUCCUCCUCACCAAGCCUCUCCUCUUCCUUCUAGUCGAGCUUGAUACUAUUUCCUUUUCACGGAGCCCCUCCUUACCCUCCUUGUCGACCCAACACUAAGCUUUUUUUCAUGUGAUUCUUGUGAAAAGCUCGUUGAGGAAGAAAUCCAACUUUAAUUCAAAGCGAGUUUACAAGUUAUUCCAAAUAGAUUCUAAAACUAGCCCUUGUUCCUUAAAGAAAGGAGAGAAACUCGCUUCUUUAUUCCUAAAGAAACAUAGUUGAUGGUUUCAAGAUACUCGUCAAUCUAUGGCAUAGAUACGAUGUGCGAACUACAUAAUGUAAUUUACUUCCGUACAAGAGUUUAUAUCAUGACAAUUUUUUUAAUCAAUGUAGAGACACUAACACUUAUAUAUAUGCUUGCACACUUAUCCAAUAAACACAAUAUAUACACUUUAUCUCCAAUGUUUCGGUUAGUAGAUCUUAAGAUUGAUGAAUUCACAAUCUCGAUACUAACGAACACGCCACUAUCAUAGGAAAAAUAGCAUUAAAUUCUAAAGGAAAUCAUAAAAAAGAUACGAAUACCGAUAGUAUCAAGCAACUCAAUGCACUAAAUGAACCAGAUACACAAAUCGGUCUGUUUCCCUUACAGUUGAGUAAGGUUGAUUCCUUUGUCAUUCGCUUUUUUUAAAAGAAUUCACUAUUGUAUAAAUUAGUUAUAAAUUUAUUUAGAUUUAACAGACAUAAACCCUAAAUAAAUCUAUGAUUCACUGUGUAUGAUUUUUUUACUAAAGUUCAAGCAUACAAAAAAUUAGGCUAUCAUAAAAAUUUCACCACAAUUGUACCAUAUAAACUGUAGUUAUGAAUUAUUCCAACUAAUUACAGAAAAACAUAGAUAUAAAUCUACAACAAAACUUUAUACUGAAGCAUAUUAUAUUAUAUAUUCACUAUGUUAUAUUCACUAUGUAGAUCUAUUGCUGUGGAGUUCAACAAAAUUAGAUUUUCCAUUUUAUACUUUUUUGUGAUUUAUUAUGAUUUUUUAAAUAUUUAGCUGAAAUAAAUAAAAAAAGACAGACAAAACCGCCUUCAAAACUACUCCAGAGAGGUAAAAUGUACGGUUUGAAAAAUUGAGAGAUGUGAUUUAUCCAGUUUUGAAGUUCACAAAAGAAAAAUAGGCUUUUACAAACAUUUUAAGGAGGAAAAGUGGAUUUUUUUUCCCCCUUGGAUUUCCGUGGCAUGCUCUGUUUUACUAUGUAGUGGCCCUAGCCAUAGUUGGCCCCGCAGCAAAGGUCUCGGCCAAUGUCGACACAGUAGCCUACCUGAGCGAACUACCAUAGAAGCUUGCGUUUGCUCGAGACUGUCGAGAGGCCCAUCCGGCCACGGCCACGGGCCAUCCCAACUGGUUCCUCUCCGAAUCCUUGUUGGCUUGCUCAGGCCUUGUUUAGUUUCCAAAAUUUUUUAAGAUUUUUCGUCACAUCAAAUCUUGCGGCACAUGUAUGAAGUAUUAAAUAUAGACGAAAAGAAAAACUAAUUACACAGUUUGUCUAUAAAUCACGAGAUGAAUCUUUUAAUUCUAGUUAGUCUAUGAUUUGAUAAUAUUUGUCACAAAUAAACGAAAGUGCUAAAAUAGCGAAAUCUAAAAAUUUUCGCAAACUGAACUAGGCCUCAGUCACCAAAGAUAAUCCAUUGUCCGGACGGGGGUGGCAUCCGACGGUAGAGUAGUUCAACAAAUCAGAGAACAGUACAGGCUUCCUAGGUGUUAAAAUUGACGAACAAACCUGAUCCUGCUAGUGCUAGUAGCACUUAGAAUUGAUUGGAGAAAUUUAGCUGCAAUAAGAGAUGAUCGAAAGCAGACCCAUCAGUAUUGUCUUGUUUAGUUUCAGGGUGUAAAGUUUUAGGGUGUCACUUCGAGAUGUUACAUAUGAUGUUCCGAUACUAAUAAAAAAUAAAUUAUAGAAUCCGUUAGUAAUCUGCAAGAUAAAAUUAUUAUCCAUAAUUAAUCUAUCAUUAGCACAUGUGUUAAUAUAAUACUUUAUUAUUAUAUCAUGUACUAAUUGGCUUAAAAGAUUCGUUUCACAGAGUAGUUGCAAUCUAUAUAAUUAGUUAUUUUUUAUUAUUUAAUAAUAUUCCAUGCAUGUUCUCAAAUAUUUGAUGAGAUAGUGUGUAAAUUUUGUAGAAAGGAACUAAACAAGGCCUGUGAUUAGAUGAGUAGCAGCAGCACAGGCAAAGAGCAUCCAGUUUCAACUUGUACCUAACACCGACUGCAAGACGAAUUGCAGGCCGGCGCAGCAUUGAUGGAGAUCACGGCGAUCCUGUGAGACCGAGCAUUCAGAGCAGAAGCUUCACAGGCCGGGAGCGGAAACUCGUUUUUGGGUGGCUUUUAGCUGAACAGCUGUGCCGUGGUGUGCCAUCACUGUGGCACAGUUCGGUUGUGUUCUUCGUAGUUAAUAAUAAUAAUCCAAGGGGCGUCAGCGUCUCUCGGUGCCGUCCAAGGCCUAUCCCAAAAUACAAAACCUUUACAACAUUCCCCGUCACAUCGAAUCUUGCAGCAUAUGCAUGGAGCACUAAAUAUAUAUGAAAAUAAAAACUAAUUAUACAGUUUACCUGUAAAUCACGAGAUGAAUCUUUUAAACCUAGUUACUCUAUGAUUAGACAAGGUUUAUCAAAUAAAAACGAAAGUGAUACACUUCUGAAAAAAUUUCAGAACUAAACAAGGCCAACUGCUGUAAUCACACGAAACGUAUCGCUACAGGUUCUGGAUAAAGUUAUACGAAAGGGGCGGCCGGUCCGCAUCUGAGCGCGAGACUCGUCCUGCUGCUGCCAAACGGCCAAAGUCAUGAACCGCAGUCCGCGGCGCAGGGUCUGAGCGGACAAUCUCCAAUCAGGGGGUAUGGUACGGGUCUACGGGAUGGUGGUUGUCCGAGCUGAUUACUCGCGGGCACGGCACGGGCAACAGGAAAGAAGGAACAUCCACAUCCCUCGGGCGUCCUGUCCUGCGAGAUGGGACCGUUCAACCGUUGCCCGUUGGGUUUGGGUGCCGUCCACUUUAAAAAGUCGCACGAUUCUUUCUUUGACCAGUGCACUAGCACUAUCGUUUCCAAAAUCCAACGAACUGAGGUUCGGGCCGUUCGGCAGUUGAACUGGAUUUUUAAUGGAUAAUAAAGGGUUAGUGAACAAACAGAAAGAUGGCGCCUGUGAUUGGACUUUGAUUCGAGAUUCGAGAACGAGGUCCGGAGACAGCUUGAUGCUGACGGUACUACUGGAACGGCAACUUAGGCCCUGUUUUUCCCCAGCCAAAAAUUUUUCAUUCAUCCCAUCGAAUCUUUAAACACAUGCAUGAAACAUUAAAUGUAUAUAAAAAAAUAAACUAAUUAUACAGUUUGGUUGAAAAUCACGAGACGAAUAUUUGAAGCCUAGUUACUCUAUGAUUAGCCUUAAUUGCUACAGUAACCCACAUGUGCUAAUAAUAGAUUAAUUAUGCUUAAUAGAUUUGUCUUGCAGUUUCUGACGAGCUAUGUAAUUUGUUUUUUUAUUAGUUUCUAAAAACCUUUCGCGACAUCCUUUCGACACAUUCGAUGUGACAUCCAAAAAAUUUCCAUCGUCAAUCUAAACAGCCCUUUAUCUGAUGCACCCGUUUAGGGCAUGUACGGAGCUUCACUAGUAGAGCUGAAUCUAUUUUUCAUAAACAUUUGGUAAAACAAAUUUUCAUAGAAGAUAGCAGAGAGAAAGCUAGAAGAAUCUAGUAUUUUAUGUUUCAUUCAGCAUUGAAUUGUGCAUAUGAGAGGAACUAAAAAAAAGCCCGUUUGGUACGAGAAGCGGAAAACAACUUUGUGAAGAUGGUAGAGAAGCUCUACCAAACUCACCCAUAGAGACCUGGCAAUAAUCCAACUGUUGCACUUUUACGGUAGGCUCGCCUGAUAUAGUUUAUCUUUAUCAAAAUUACUAUAAUGGAACUUUACCAUGUAGCAGUAUACUGUGAGAUAUUGGGACUCGGCUACAAAAGAGACGUUGAACUAGACAAGAGGUUCUGAGUUGGUUGAAAUUAGAAUGAAUUUUGACUUUUGGGACUACUCUGCAUUUGGAUCCACAGUAACUUUUAGAAGUUGAUAGAAGCUUUGGUUCAUUUAACUUUUAGGAUUAUGGAAGUUGGCUUAUGAAGUUGGUGGUUAUUUGGAUAUCAUCACAACUUCUAGAAGCUAGAUUGUGGAAUCUAGAAGACCCAAACAUGCCCUUUUUCUAGACUCCCUUUGUUCCAAUGAAAAUGACAUUUUGGACUUCGUGCCAUCUUGUUUGACAUCUUAUUUAAAAAUUUUAUAUAAAUAUUAUCUAUUUUGUUAUAACUUAUUUUAUCAUUAGAAAUACUUUAAUAAUAAUUUAUUUAUUUUAUAAUUUAUAAAAAAAUGAAUAAGACCAAUGGUCAAACAUGAUACCCAAAAGUCAAAAACGUCAUUUUUAAUGGAACGGGGAGAGUAGACUAUGUGAAGAUCUUGAGGCAAAGGCUAGUGCUAUAGUCUAGACAACACAAGCCUUGGCUAGCUCUAUCCUUAUGAGAGAUAGACGAAAUGUGUGCAAAUUUACUAUCUUGUCUUGUUUCGUUAUGUUGAUUCUGUUUAUCUUCUGAGUUUAAAUUCUCAAUUGGUAUGAGUGCUCAUUACUAGAUUUAUUAUAAAAAGAUUCAGUGCCAAAUGACGUGCUCAUGACAAUGAAGUACCUAUGUAUGUACGUUCGAAGAGAGUUUAUGUGCAUCUAUACUGUGUAAUUUGCAAAAAAUAUAAAUUAAAAUAACGACUUAAUGUAAAGUUUUAGCACGUUAUUUUUACGAGGAGUCGAGAAGUAAAAGACAACUCAUCAACAAAACUACUCCUCAUAACCAUAAUUCUCGUGGAGCGACAUAUCAAAUGACUAUAGGGCCCAUUUAGUUUCACCGGAGAUCCAUAAUUAUCUACUCCAAACUCCAAAGUUACUAACACCUAAGUCAUAUGUGUUGCUUACCCUAAUGUUAAAUCUCAACAACCGGUUUCCCUUUCUAUGAACUAUGAAACAUAGUACAAACAUAUCGUCGACGAUGUUGAUAGAAGAAUGAUCGAUUGUUAUCUUAUCCAGCUCCUCACUACUACAAACACACCAAUCGCAAAUCCAUGACAUUUUAACUAUUUUUUUUGUCUGUCUUUCAAAACUUUCGGCCAUGAAUACCUAUUAAAAAAUUGGUUUAAAGAUAUAAAUACAACAUAAGUUUUUUUUUGAAUGACACUUUCAUAAUCAUAUAGUACAUCUAUUAGACAUCAAUACAUCAGAACUAUAGUUCCAAUAGAAAGCUAUGGUCAAAGUCACAACACAAAGAUGAGAAAAUAGUAUAAAAACGUCCUAAACCUUUUACCGAGGCUUAAAGGCAGAACUCUAUUAGUCAAUUAUCUAAAAUAACAAAUCUUUUUUCUACACAUCAUAUAUGAUACUCCAUUUAUCCUAAAAUAAAGCGACACUUUUAAUCUUGUUUUAAGAAAUAAAAUAUCUAAAAGUAAAAAAUAUCACUUAGGCCCUGUUUAGUUUCUCACCCAAAAAUUUUUCAUCCAUCCCAUCGAAUCUUUGGACACAUGAAUGGAACAUUAAAUGUAGAUAAAAAAAUAAACUAAUUACACAGUUUAGUUGAGAAUCGCGAGACGAAUCUUUUAAGCCUAGUUACUCCAUGAUUAGCCUUAAGUGCUACAGUAACCCACAUAUGCUAAUGAUAGAUUAAUUAUGCUUAAUAAAUUUGUACAUUUUUCCCACAAGUAGGAUACCAUAACUUACACCGUCGUGCAAGCACAGAUCCAUCAAAGUCAUUACCCUCCAUAGCUAAGUAAUGGCGCUCACCACGGGAACACUAAGGCCACAUCUCAUGAUACCACAAUAAUUCACAAAGCUCUUUUCAUACAAUUCCACAAUUUCACAUACAUCACUUAGUGUCCCGUUGCACACCUGCCUCCAGGUGAUUGCCAUACUAACUAGAGGGAUUUAGACUAAGCCUUUCCCAUGCAAGGCGAGUGGUUGUACGAUAAAUGAGUUAGGCAAGAUGAAUCAUCAACUCAGUCCUUAAUCGAGACAAGGCGGAUAUCUUCACGCUUAACCCCGCAAGGUAUAAGCCAUAACACCAGGGCAUCCCAAAAGAGAUCCCAUCCGCCCCAUCUCCAUAGUAAUCACAUCUAUAACUUGUUCAUUAACUCUUUCACAAUACCCACAAUUUAUUUUCACCACUCACACCUUUUAUUUUUAAAAUCAUUAUAUUUGAGAAAAUAUAGAGAUGAGUAUCCAGGAUGACUAACAAGUCCUAAGCAUACUAAAUAAUAAUAUUUUUGUCAUAGCAUAUUAUUUGUUCCUAGGUUCAAACAAGACAGUUACCGGGUGAUUUCAAUUCAAGGAUGGCUAUUCAACAGGUUUUAACUAAGCAACGAAAAUACUUCGUACAUAUAUCGUACAUGCAAUAUUUAAAACGGCUUCUACGGGUUGUGUUUAAAAAUAGGAUCAAUAUGCAUCAAAGGGGAUCGGUUGGACUUGCCUCCGUCGGCGUCCUCAGCAAACUCUUGCUGACAGUCCGGGUCCUCGGCGUCAAACUCGCGGUACUCGUCUCCAACGUUCUCGUUCUCUGGCUCGUUCACUCCGUCAGCUAAAAUACGCGACGAACGACACAGACAACAGGCACAGAUAAAUAAUCAUAUAAAUUCAAAUGAGCUCCAAAAAUCAUGAAAUUAAUAUGGGAGGUAGAUCAUGAUUUUAGAUGAAUUUAGGAAAAAGAAUUACUAAAAUCAGAGUUAGCAUGUGGUAUUUGUAAAAUGGCCGGACUUUAAUUAUGCGAAAAAAGCUAACGGUGAUUAAGAAAUACAUGCUACACGAGAUGAAUUUUGGCUGGUGGUACAUGUUGCAUGCAUGCAUGUACUAUUUGGUGGAGUUAAUGCUUAUGGCCCACGCAUGCAUGGUUAGAGAGAAAUUAGCAGGGGUCAUUAGAGCUCUUCUGUAUGUCAUGGUUCUAUUCGUGGAGUUCUUGGCAGUGAAUCGGUACAGACAAAUACAAGAAAAAAUACAGAAAAAUACUACAGAAAGACAGAGAAGAGCAAGGAGAUGCUCAUGAGCUGCUCACCUCGUCUUGCGACGACAGUCGAGCUCGGCUUGUGCAUAUGGCCGUAUACGGUAUUCGCGAAGUGAGAGCGAGUGAGCGAGUGAGUGAACGUGUUUCUCGGGUGGUGAGAGUGAGCACCCGAGGCUGGCUUUUUAUAGGCCAAAGCGCUCAGCUGCGUGCCAUUAAAAAUGCUACUGUAGCGCAUGGUCGGUGCCUAAUUUCAUGCGAAGGACGAUGUCCCAUUUGCAUGCACGUUGCAUGCAAAUUGACGGUGCCUAAUCACCGUGUCCUUGCAUGCAGGUGCAUGCAAAUGGACGGUGGCAUGUCCUGCAUGCAUGCAUGAGAUAUAUAUUCAUGUAGGUGCACUGCUAUGUUUUCUUGCAUGUAAGCUUGCUGGUACUCGCUGUUAUUUAUGCACGAAAAAAAUAUGGAUGGAUUAGAUGGAGAUACUAUAGAGCUCAAAUUAUUUUAUAGUUUUUGAAAUAUAUUUUGAAAAUAAUUUUUAAUGCGAGUGAUUUUUGAAUGUGAAUUUUUGGGAUGUUACACUACUGUUGCGAGGGAAACCACGGUUGACUCCAGACACUGCAGGUCUUGGUCCAUUAACAGUGUGGGACUGAGUGGAUACUGCUGGUGGGUUGUUCUUGUAGGGACAGUUGGCGAUAUAGUGUCCAGUCUCAUGGCAAUUAAAGCAAGUCCUAACAUUGUUUGUGACUUGACCAGUGCUGUUCUGUUGAGUCUUGCCAUAAGUUUGAUUCUGAUAGGUUGUCUUAGGCUGAUAUGAUGACUGCAUUUGGUUAUUGUAGACACUAGGAGGAGAGCGAAACUGCAUUGGGGCUUGAGUCCGCUGGCUUGGUUGGCUAAAGGUUUUCAGCCUUUGGAAUCUAGCACCAUCUUGAACCUUGCGCUCCAGAAACUUGCGCUUGUUUUCCUUCCUUUCUUCAGUCUUGGCGACAUCAGUCAGAAUGGUCCUGUUCAUCAAAGUGUUGAAGUCUGGAUAGAUCUGUGGGGUCAUGAGGGUUCUAAGCUCACAGGUCAAUCCUUCUAUGAACUUUGUAUGCUUCUUGGCAUCGGUGUUGACCAAUUCUGGGGCAUAGCGAGACAAUUCAGUGAAUUGGAAGAUGUACUCAGUUAGAGUUUUAUUUCCUUGCUUCAAGUUGCGAAAUUCAUCAGCUUUCAGCUUCAUGAUUCCAUCUGGAAUGUGGUACCGACGGAAUUCGUCCACAAAUUCUUCCCAUGUGAUAGUGUUUUCAUUGUCUACAGCUCCACUAUAGGCUUCCCACCAAGAAAGGGCAAUUCCUGUCAGCUGAUGAGAUGCUAGCAGAACUCUAUCCCUUCCAUCGCAGUGGAUUGUGUCCAACUUCCUUUCAAUCACCUUAAGCCAAUCAUCUGCUUCCAUGGGGUUGUCAGAUCUUGUAAAGGUGGGUGGCUUAAGCCUCAUGAACUCAGUCAUCUUGUCUUGGACUCCGGCUCCACGGUUGUUCCUAGGGCGGUUCAUGCCUUGAGCCAAGGUCUCCAGAAGGCGAGUCUGAGUUGCCAUGACUUGUGCUAAGUCAAUUACUGGAGGAGGGGGCAAGUCAUCUCCUUCAUUAUGGUUCCUAGUCUGACUCACUUCAUCUUCAUGAAUACCAUCCACAUUUGCAUUGGCUUGACUUUCAUUUGGAUUUUGGCUUGGUCUACUAGCUGCACGACCACUUGGUUGAGAGCGGGUAGCUGGUUUGGGAGGCAUCUGUUGGUUAAGACGAGAAAGCAUUAGAUAAGGGUUAGAUCUAUUGAGUGAUGUUGUUUUUUUGUUAAGGCGUUAUAUUUUAAAAAGGUGCAAGUUUUAAGACUUGCUAUCCCGUAAGGGAACAACAUAGAGCACUCAAUUAUUUAGCACAACCAACAAGCACAAAUAUAUAUUUUGAAUAAGAGGGCGGUUUACAACAUAGUAAUGGAGGAAAUAAGCGUACUACAAUACGGUUCAUCUACUUUGGGGGUUGAACAAAAGUGAAGUAAACUUCACUUCCCCAAGACAUAAGGAGGAACUAGGUGCUACUAUUCUUCAACUUCUUCGGACAGAACAGCUUCAUUCCCUUGGUGUUAAGGAGGAUCAUGCUUCCGGCAUUUGUGGUUCUUCUUUUGGACUAAGGGGUGGGUCACCGUCUUCUUUUGGUGGUGGCUGGGUGAGGAGGGGAAAUCCUUCUUCCUUACUGGGCUCCAACUCUAAAGCUUCAUGAGAGGCUUCUGUGGGUGGGGGAGCUGAUGGCCCUUCUAUGUCCAUCUUUCUUUUGGUUUUUAGGGACAUGAUUGGGAUACCUUUUAGGACUAUGGGCUCUUGGUCUUCCUCUGCUAACAUCCUUCUUUUGAUCCUGGUGAUAUGGUAGGCAUCCUUCAACUCCUGAGCAUGGCGGUCUUCAGCUGCCUUCAAGACUUCAGCAAUGGCAGUUUCACGACUCUCGGCUGCAGCUGCUUGGGCCUGAGCUUCCGCGAGCUGCACAUGGAGCUUUCUAACUAUGAUCUCGGCUUCCUCCGCACGAUGGAUGCAUUUCCUUAACUCUGAGGCCUGCUCAUCAUAUUGCUUAUCUAGAGCAAGUAGGUAUGUGGUCAUGAAUACCACAGUUGGGUCAUCUUCAAGUGAGUAACGUCCUUGCAAGAGCUCCAUGCGAGUCCUCCAAACUGGUCGGUCUUUUUCGUCGGGUGGAAAGAACCUCAUGGGUGUACGGGUGAUGGGCUUCUCGUAGAUCUGGCAUAGGUACCUCAAGGCUUUGCGGGCGACGGCUUGAUAUGUAUCUGCAAACCGAAACCCGGUCGCAGUCAUGCUCCAAGCUUCAGCUAUAUUAGGGAAGUCCUCACUUUUCCCAAUAUAGACGGUAACGUCACACCGCUCAGUCUCAUGCUCUUCAUAUUCUCUGCCUUCGUAUUCUGGGCGAUCCUUGAUUCCAAGUUUCUGCAUGGUAGCAUACAAGAGCUUGGGAAAGCCUUCUACACUUAGACAAUAACUGCUGGUCCAACUCCUUCUGCCAUCUGAGAGAUAUAGAUGAGAGUAAAUUUUUUUUCAAAUAGAGGGAAGAGGGUAAGAACUUUUGUAGAAUACGUUUAUUUAGUAAAAUACUGGUCCAGAAAAGCCUAAGGUCGCGUCCUACAGCCAACUACGGCUCUGAUACCACCUGAAGCGCCCCUGGUAAACCAGGAACUCAAAUGUGAUACAAUACUAGUCCCAGGAGGCUAGUAACACAUUUAUUACAUCAGAUAAGUUUCAGCGCAGUAGUCUUGGAAAGCGUGGACAAGGAAGGCACGCUAUAAUAAUAAGACACCAAAUACAACAUAGGUCCAAAGGACCUAGAAACAAACGAUAUCACAAUCGAACAUCUGACGAGUCCCAAUGCCACAGGCUUAGUUGGGUGCAGACACGACCUUACUCGAACGCCACUUCGGGAUCAAAGUCCGGAUCUUUCUCUCUUUAAUAAAGCAAGGGUGAGUACAAAGUACUCAGCAAAUCCAACCUUACCCUACGGAAGGGGAUAACAGUAUAUAUGCAUAUGGAUAGAUCAAAGAUGAGGCUUAGUUUUAUUUGCAUAAAGCUAUCUUUUUACACAUGCAAGGUUUUAUUUCACAAAUACUGUUGUAAAAGACCUCUUUUUCCACAUAUGAUAGUAUUUCUGAAAAUGGGGGUUUGAUCACAAUUUUAAGUGUUGUUGAACCCUUGUUCCCACAACACAAUGGCAGUCAACCAUUUAUUUCCAAAAUCACACUCACUCUCAUGUUUUCACUCAUAUCAACCCAUCUAGUUGUUGAAACCAAACCAUAACUCGUCCGAGACCGCGGACACGGCUAUCCAGAUAGAUUUACACUCUGCAGAGGUUGUACACUUUUCCCACAAGUAGGAUACCAUAACUUACACCGUCGUGCAAGCACAGAUUCAUCAAAGUCAUUACCCUCCAGAGCUAAGUAAUGGCACUCACCACGGGAACACUAAGGCCACAUCUCAUGAUACCACAAUAAUUCACAAAGCUCUUUUCAUAUAUUUCCACAAUUUCACAUACAUCACUUAGUGUCCCGUUGCACACCUGCCUCCAGGUGAUUGCCAUACUAACUAGAGGGAUUUAGACUAAGCCUUUCCCAUACAAGACGAGUGGUUGUACGAUAAAUGAGUUAGGCAAGAUGAAUCAUCAACUGAGUCCUUAAUCGAGACAAGGCGGAUAUCUUCUCGCUUAACCCCGCAAGGUAUAAGCCACAACACCAGGGCAUCCCAAAAGAGAUCCCAUCCGCCCCAUCUCCAUAGUAAUCACAUCUAUAACUUGUUCAUUGACCCUUUCACAAUACCCACAAUUUAUUUUCACCACUCACACCUUUUACUUUUAAAAUUAUUAUAUUUGAUAAAAUACAACGAUGAGUAUCCAGGAUGAGUAACAAGUCCUAAGCAUACUAAAUAAUAAUAUUUCUGUCAUAGCAUAUUAUUUGUUCCUAGGUUCGAACAAGAUAAUUACCGGAUAAUAUCAAUUCAAGGAUGGCUAUUCAACAGGUUUUAACUAAACUGCGAAAAUACUUCGUACAUAUAUCGUACAUGCAAUAUUUAAAAUAGCUUCUACGGGUUGUGUUUAAAAAUAGGAUCAAUAUGCAUCAAAGGGAAUCGGUUGGACUUGCCUCCGUCGGCGUCCUCAGCAAACUCCUGCUGACAGUCCGGGUCCUCGGCGUCAAACUCGCGGUACUCGUCUCCAACGUUCUCGUUUUCGGGCUCGUUCACUCCGUCAGCUAAAAUACACGACGACCGACACAGACAACAGGCACAGAUAAAUAAUCAUAUAAAUUCAAAUGAGCUCUAAAAAUCAUGAAAUUAAUAUGAGAGGUAGAUCAUGAUUUUAGAUGAAUUUAGAAAAAAGAAUUAUUAAAAUCAGAGUUAGCGUGUGGCAUUUGUGAAAUGACCGGACUUUAAUCAUGUGAAAAAGGCUAACGAUGAUUAAGAAAUACAUGCUUCACGAGAUGAAUUUUGGCUAGUAGUGCAUGUUGCAUGCAUGCAUGUACUAUUUAGAGUUAAUGCUUAUGGCCCACACAUGCAUGGUUAGAGAGAAAUUAGCAGGGGUCCUUAGAGCUCUUCUGUAUGUCAUGGUUCUAUUCGUGGAGUUCUUGGCAGUGAAUCGGUACAGACAAAUACAAGGAAAAAUACAGAAAAAAUACUACAGAAAGACAGAGAAGAGCGAGGAGAUGCUCAUGAGCUGCUCACCUCGUCUUGCGACGAUAGUCGAGCUCGGCUUGUGCGUAUGGCCGUAUACGGUAUACGCGAAGUGAGAGCGAGUGAGCGAGUGAGUGAACGUGUUUCUCGGGUGGUGAGAGUGAGCACCCGAGGCUGGCUUUUUAUAGGCCAAAGCGCUCAGCUGCGUGCCAUGCUGGUUUUCAUUACUAACUAUCACGCGGGCCACGCCCCCAAAUAAACAAAAUAUAAUACUCCCUCCGUCUAAAAAAAUGUCGUUUUAGGUUUUUGUGCCACAAGUUUGACUUGAUUUGUAGAAAAUAUAUAUAAUAUUUAUAUCUCUAAAUAAAUUUAUUAAAAAACUAGACUUAAAGAUCUUUCCAAUGAUACUAAUUAUGUACUAUAAAUACUAAUAUUUUUUACUAUAUAUUUAGCUAAAGUUAUUUCUCGGGAAGCGAAAACGACACUUAUUUUGGGACGGAGGGAGUAUAUAAAAGCAACCAUGAGUAGUAGAACCAACCUUUCCAAGAGAAGAAACAACCAAAACAAGCACGCCAAGACCACGAUGAAACGGCCACCGCAGCUUUGCACGCUGCUGUACUGUAGGCCGACGUUAUCCACUAGCUGAGUGCCGACUGCCGACUGCGGCCGGUGUCAUUGUCAGCAGCAGCGCUGGGCUGCUGGACGCUAUCACGCUAUGCACCAGAUCGAGCUGACGGGUAGAUUAGGCGCAGGUUGGGCGACGAGACGAGGAGCCCACGGCCCACGGGUGGGCGCAGCGCCGCGUAGCCUGCCGGGUUACUAAACAUGGUAAACAAAGUGGAGCCUCCAAUCAGCGCUCGACACCUCCCGCUGCGCCCCGCCCCCGCAUCCUUCCGCGCCGGGCAUGGGCACCGCGUCGGCGCGCGCCCCUACCCAGUCGUCGACUUGAUGCUGCUCACUCGCACUCGUCGCAGCGCCCCACGCCCCGCUAUUUAUGCGUACUUGCUUGCCGGGAGAGUCGCUGGAGGUGGGCGUCCUCCUCCCGCUCCAGAGCUCGCUGCUUCGCUCCACCCACCCGUAGGUCCCCUCCCCUCCUCCUCCUCCCUCCCCUGUUGCUGCUGCUUAGCUUGCUUCAACCAUCAUCUGUUCAUCAUGUUCUUCUUCUUGGACACGGAUUAUGGAGAGAGGCUCUUGGAUUGGUCACUGAAUGUCUGGAUCCUCUGUUGCGUCUCUCCUGCUCCCGUCUGGGACUGGCUCCUCGAUCGGGGGGCAGCUAGAGCGCGAUAGGUUUUUGUUUUUGGACCACUCAUCAGAAAGGAGAUAUGCUUGCUCCUUCAGUCCUUCAGUACAAGGAUUGAUAGCUAGCUUGAUGGAUUGUUGGGGGGGAAGGGAGGAACAGAACCUGCAAAAAGCUGGCGUUUUUCACUUGGUUCUAUAUGUUUCUGGUUAGCUUUGACAUCGUACGCAUAUUUGAUAGGACGAUGGCUGCGGCUAGCAAACUUAGCAUGCUAAAUUUUAGAAGAUGGGAAGAUUAACACCCCGAGAACCCCCUUUUUUUUUCUUGUUUUUUGGGGCUGCUGAUAACUAGCGAAUGGAUAGUGUUUGUUAGCUGUCGCUAUUAAGCUGCUCUAGUAUCGUGAGAGGAAGGAGAAGGAGUGCUGCAAGUCCAUUCCGUGGCCUUUUACAGUUACCCGUGGUUUUUCUUGCAUUCUCGGCAUGGUCCAUGUGCCACGUCGGGGAGACCAGAUUUCGACACGAAAGAUUGGGAACGAAACGGCGCUGCUAUAAUCUCUUGAUCAUGGGGGAGUAGGAAAUGGGGAUCCGUUGAUCUGCUUUCCGUAGCUGCUAGUAUUCAUGUCUUCGCAAAAGUAGCAUGAUGCUUUCUGUUGUUUGUUAGCACCGGAUUGUUCCUGAUAAGUUCUCCAUGUUAGGAUCCAGAUGUGUUUCCGGAAAUGUUAGUGAACCUCGUUUAUUGGAUUGCACCCUGUUUUGAAACAGCAGGGCUUUUCUCAUGACACAGGACUACAGGAGUGAAAACUUGUAAUCCCCAUCUGUUGAAAAACAAUGUGAAAUGAAAAUCUUGCACCAUAAUCGCAUACUACUGGAAGUUUCAAAUGAUAUUAUUCAUCAUUAGUCUUAGCCUCAUAGGUUGCUUCUUUCAUUUUUUUUAAGGAACUGCUUCUUCAUAUUGUGAAUAAUUUAGAGGCAUAGCUAUCUGUUGUUUUGUAAUCUCUGAGUUAUUAGCUGAAAAUAGUACAUGCAUACUACAACAGAAGGGCCUAAUUUUGCAUUACCAAUAGCACAGGCACUUCAAUUUUCUUGAGACAGAGGGGGAAAAUGGCAUUCAUUUAAUCAUUUCAGCAUAUAUAAGGAGAACCUUGACAUUGUGCAAUUCCGUAACAGAACUCUGACCUGCUCUUACAUUUUGUUGUCCAUAGCUAAAUGAUCAUAAUUGUUGGAAAAAUACUGUCAAAAACAACUCCGGUGAUUUUUUUUUUAUCACAAAACAUACAUGCUAGAUGAAUUGUGCAACAAAUGUUAUAAAAAGAAACAGAUAAAGCCCGUUCCAUGAAACCUCAUUUGCUGUUAAUGGCGGGUAAAGGAACUUGAUCUUAUUAUUAGGCUACACCGAUUAUUCCAUGAUUUAAAUUUAUGAUACUUAUGACUUCAUAUAAGAACCACAUGUUGUAGCACUGGUUAUGUUAGAGUGCAGAUUUUGUGCCCAGGGGGCUGGCACUGGCACCCUCGUUAGCUAUACCAUGUUGCAAUCUUUCAAAAUUCAUCACGAAAUCAUGUAUCUAGUACACAAAGUUAAGUAUAGUUGCAAUUUGAAAUUCAUCCUAUAUGCCAAGAAACAAAAUAGACAAGCAGUCAACCUGACACUGUUCAUCAUGUGUUGAUAGUGGCACUUCUGUUUUUUUUUUUAAUCUCAGCGUCAAAGAUGGAUUUCAAACUGAAUUGUUGCGGCUAAACUUAACUUUAGGUGUACUACAUACAUGAUUUUUGAAACAUUGCAACAUUAAGACCAGAGAGAAGUAACAAGGACUAUGCAAAUGACCAAAAUACUCAUAUAGUUGAUAUGACAACACACUGGUGUUGCGCUUUUGCGGACGAUGCGGCAACUUCUAGUGAACUUCUGGUGACCUCGUGCGUGAACGAGUGGUGGAGACUCGUUAGGAUGAUUUUUUUAGAAGUCUCUUGCGUGAGCUGAUAGCAGGUCUGGAAGGUGUUGUUAGCUACUCCCUCUGUCCCAAAAAGAGUGUCGUUUUAGGUUUUCGUGCCACAAGUUUGACUCGAUUUGUAGAAAAUAUGUGCAAUAUUUGUGUCUCCAAAUAAAUUUGUUAAAAAACUAGACUUUAAGAUCUUUCUAAUGAUACUAAUUAUGUACUAUAAAUAUUAAUAUUUUUUACUAUAUAUUUAGUUAAAGUUAUUUCUUGGGAAGCGCAAACGACACUUAUUUUGGGACGGAGGGAGUACAUUACACAAAUACGGGUACGAGUAUCCGAUACAAUACGUAUCAGAUACACAGAUACACACUUUCUCAAAAGAAAACCCACUAAAAUGGUGUAUCUAAGUAUCCGUAUCUGUAUCCGCGUAUCCGAUGAGUAUCGGAUAUGGAUACGUCACCCCCCUUAGUGUAUCCGUGUAAGGCUGUUAGUGUGGGUCCCUCAUCUUAGGUCUAGAGUAUAGCUAUGCACACAACUUUAGCAUUUAUUUGUGGAAAAUUUUGAACUCGUCGAUUGCAGUAUUUUGGAGUAUCUAAAUCUACCUUAUAUCUAGAUAUUUAGCAAAAUUGAUGAAUAAUUUAGAACAAAUGACGUAACAAUCUAUCCACUUUUGGUAGGAACACCCAUAAAUAGUCUAAGUAUAUGCUUGGUGUAUAAGGCUCAACACUCGCCCCUCCUCCUCCUCCUCGUCAGCCCCCGCACCUCUCUCUUCCCCUCUUGCUCAAGAGUCACCGGUUGUGCCAGCCUCAUGCUCUCCCACGAUUGGGCCUUGAAGAUCUCCUCCGAGGUCCUUGCCGCUUGUGUGCCUUCCUCCUCACCAAGCCUCUCCUCUUCCUUCUAGUCGAGCUUGAUACUAUUUCCUUUUCACGGAGCCCCUCCUUACCCUCCUUGUCGACCCAACACUAAGCUUUUUUUCAUGUGAUUCUUGUGAAAAGCUCGUUGAGGAAGAAAUCCAACUUUAAUUCAAAGCGAGUUUACAAGUUAUUCCAAAUAGAUUCUAAAACUAGCCCUUGUUCCUUAAAGAAAGGAGAGAAACUCGCUUCUUUAUUCCUAAAGAAACAUAGUUGAUGGUUUCAAGAUACUCGUCAAUCUAUGGCAUAGAUACGAUGUGCGAACUACAUAAUGUAAUUUACUUCCGUACAAGAGUUUAUAUCAUGACAAUUUUUUUAAUCAAUGUAGAGACACUAACACUUAUAUAUAUGCUUGCACACUUAUCCAAUAAACACAAUAUAUACACUUUAUCUCCAAUGUUUCGGUUAGUAGAUCUUAAGAUUGAUGAAUUCACAAUCUCGAUACUAACGAACACGCCACUAUCAUAGGAAAAAUAGCAUUAAAUUCUAAAGGAAAUCAUAAAAAAGAUACGAAUACCGAUAGUAUCAAGCAACUCAAUGCACUAAAUGAACCAGAUACACAAAUCGGUCUGUUUCCCUUACAGUUGAGUAAGGUUGAUUCCUUUGUCAUUCGCUUUUUUUAAAAGAAUUCACUAUUGUAUAAAUUAGUUAUAAAUUUAUUUAGAUUUAACAGACAUAAACCCUAAAUAAAUCUAUGAUUCACUGUGUAUGAUUUUUUUACUAAAGUUCAAGCAUACAAAAAAUUAGGCUAUCAUAAAAAUUUCACCACAAUUGGACCAUAUAAACUGUAGUUAUGAAUUAUUCCAACUAAUUACAGAAAAACAUAGAUAUAAAUCUACAACAAAACUUUAUACUGAAGCAUAUUAUAUUAUAUAUUCACUAUGUAGAUCUAUUGCUGUGGAGUUCAACAAAAUUAGAUUUUCCAUUUUAUACUUUUUUGUGAUUUAUUAUGAUUUUUUAAAUAUUUAGCUGAAAUAAAUAAAAAAGACAGACAAAACCGCCUUCAAAACUACUCCAGAGAGGUAAAAUGUACGGUUUGAAAAAUUGAGAGAUGUGAUUUAUCCAGUUUUGAAGUUCACAAAAGAAAAAUAGGCUUUUACAAACAUUUUAAGGAGGAAAAGUGGAUUUUUUUUCCCCUUGGAUUUCCGUGGCAUGCUCUGUUUUACUAUGUAGUGGCCCUAGCCAUAGUUGGCCCCGCAGCAAAGGUCUCGGCCAAUGUCGACACAGUAGCCUACCUGAGCGAACUACCAUAGAAGCUUGCGUUUGCUCGAGACUGUCGAGAGGCCCAUCCGGCCACGGCCACGGGCCAUCCCAACUGGUUCCUCUCCGAAUCCUUGUUGGCUUGCUCAGGCCUUGUUUAGUUUUCAAAAUUUUUUAAGAUUUUUCGUCACAUCAAAUCUUGCGGCACAUGUAUGAAGUAUUAAAUAUAGACGAAAAGAAAAACUAAUUACACAGUUUGUCUAUAAAUCACGAGAUGAAUCUUUUAAUUCUAGUUAGUCUAUGAUUUGAUAAUAUUUGUCACAAAUAAACGAAAGUGCUAAAAUAGCGAAAUCUAAAAAUUUUCGCAAACUGAACUAGGCCUCAGUCACCAAAGAUAAUCCAUUGUCCGGACGGGGGUGGCAUCCGACGCUAGAGUAGUUCAACAAAUCAGAGAACAGUACAGGCUUCCUAGGUGUUAAAAUUGACGAACAAACCUGAUCCUGCUAGUGCUAGUAGCACUUAGAAUUGAUUGGAGAAAUUUAGCUGCAAUAAGAGAUGAUCGAAAGCAGACCCAUCAGUAUUGUCUUGUUUAGUUUCAGGGUGUAAAGUUUUAGGGUGUCACUUCGAGAUGUUACAUAUGAUGUUCCGAUACUAAUAAAAAAUAAAUUAUAGAAUCCGUUAGUAAUCUGCAAGAUAAAAUUAUUAUCCAUAAUUAAUCUAUCAUUAGCACGUGACAUGCUGGUUUUCAUUACUAAUAAUAGUAGUACGUAUAGUAUAGUACAUUAGUACCCACUACCAACAACGCUACAAGUUGUUUACAUGCUGCCUAGAUUACCCAAAUCAGUUAAGUACACACAUGCAGUGGGACCACGUGGCCUUAGAUAAAAAAAACUACAGUACUAUGCAACAGCACACAGGCGCAGGUUGGGCGACGAGACGAGGAGCCCACGGCCCACGGGUGGGCGCAGCGCAGUGUAGCCUGCCGGGUUACUAAACAUGGUAAACAAAGUGGAGCCUCCAAUCAGCGCUCGACACCUCCCGCUGCGCCCCGCCCCCGCAUCCUUCCGCGCCGGGCAUGGGCACCGCGUCGGCGCGCGCCCCUACCCAGUCGUCGACUUGAUGCUGCUCACUCGCACUCGUCGCAGCGCCCCACGCCCCGCUAUUUAUGCGUACUUGCUUGCCGGGAGAGUCGCUGGAGGUGGGCGUCCUCCUCCCGCUCCAGAGCUCGCUGCUUCGCUCCACCCACCCGUAGGUCCCCUCCCCUCCUCCUCCUCCCUCCCCUGUUGCUGCUGCUUAGCUUGCUUCAACCAUCAUCUGUUCAUCAUGUUCUUCUUCUUGGACACGGAUUAUGGAGAGAGGCUCUUGGAUUGGUCACUGAAUGUCUGGAUCCUCUGUUGCGUCUCUCCUGCUCCCGUCUGGGACUGGCUCCUCGAUCGGGGGGCAGCUAGAGCGCGAUAGGUUUUUGUUUUUGGACCACUCAUCAGAAAGGAGAUAUGCUUGCUCCUUCAGUCCUUCAGUACAAGGAUUGAUAGCUAGCUUGAUGGAUUGUUGGGGGGGAAGGGAGGAACAGAACCUGCAAAAAGCUGGCGUUUUUCACUUGGUUCUAUAUGUUUCUGGUUAGCUUUGACAUCGUACGCAUAUUUGAUAGGACGAUGGCUGCGGCUAGCAAACUUAGCAUGCUAAAUUUUAGAAGAUGGGAAGAUUAACACCCCGAGAACCCCCUUUUUUUUCUGAAACUUGGUCAUGCAUAAAAUAUAGAUAAAAAAAGCAUACCCUUUUUUGUUUUUUGGGGCUGCUGAUAACUAGCGAAUGGAUAGUGUUUGUUAGCUGUCGCUAUUAAGCUGCUCUAGUAUCGUGAGAGGAAGGAGGAGUGCUGCAAGUCCAUUUCGUGGCCUUUUACAGUUACCCGUGGUUUUUCUUGCAUUCUCGGCAUGGUCCAUGUGCCACGUCGGGGAGACCAGAUUUCGACACGAAAGAUUGGGAACGAAACGGCGCUGCUAUAAUCUCUUGAUCAUGGGGGAGUAGGAAAUGGGGAUCCGUUGAUCUGCUUUCCGUAGCUGCUAGUAUUCAUGUCUUCGCAAAAGUAGCAUGAUGCUUUCUGUUGUUUGUUAGCACCGGAUUGUUCCUGAUAAGUUCUCCAUGUUAGGAUCCAGAUGUGUUUCCGGAAAUGUUAGUGAACCUCGUUUAUUGGAUUGCACCCUGUUUUGAAACAGCAGGGCUUUUCUCAUGACACAGGACUACAGGAGUGAAAACUUGUAAUCCCCAUCUGUUGAAAAACAAUGUGAAAUGAAAAUCUUGCACCAUAAUCGCAUACUACUGGAAGUUUCAAAUGAUAUUAUUCAUCAUUAGUCUUAGCCUCAUAGGUUGCUUCUUUCAUUUUUUUUAAGGAACUGCUUCUUCAUAUUGUGAAUAAUUUAGAGGCAUAGCUAUCUGUUGUUUUGUAAUCUCUGAGUUAUUAGCUGAAAAUAGUACAUGCAUACUACAACAGAAGGGCCUAAUUUUGCAUUACCAAUAGCACAGGCACUUCAAUUUUCUUGAGACAGAGGGGGAAAAUGGCAUUCAUUUAAUCAUUUCAGCAUAUAUAAGGAGAACCUUGACAUUGUGCAAUUCCGUAACAGAACUCUGACCUGCUCUUACAUUUUGUUGUCCAUAGCUAAAUGAUCAUAAUUGUUGGAAAAAUACUGUCAAAAACAACUCCGGUGAUUUUUUUUUUAUCACAAAACAUACAUGCUAGAUGAAUUGUGCAACAAAUGUUAUAAAAAGAAACAGAUAAAGCCCGUUUCAUGAAACCUCAUUUGCUGUUAAUGGCGGGUAAAGGAACUUGAUCUUAUUAUUAGGCUACACCGAUUAUUCCAUGAUUUAAAUUUAUGAUACUUAUGACUUCAUAUAAGAACCACAUGUUGUAGCACUGGUUAUGUUAGAGUGCAGAUUUUGUGCCCAGGGGGCUGGCACUGGCACCCUCGUUAGCUAUACCAUGUUGCAAUCUUUCAAAAUUCAUCACGAAAUCAUGUAUCUAGUACACAAAGUUAAGUAUAGUUGCAAUUUGAAAUUCAUCCUAUAUGCCAAGAAACAAAAUAGACAAGCAGUCAACCUGACACUGUUCAUCAUGUGUUGAUAGUGGCACUUCUGUUUUUUUUUUAAUCUCAGCGUCAAAGAUGGAUUUCAAACUGAAUUGUUGCGGCUAAACUUAACUUUAGGUGUACUACAUACAUGAUUUUUGAAACAUUGCAACAUGGUAUUUUAGAUUUUAGAACGAGGGUGCCAGUCCCCUGGGUGCCAUAUGAUUUUCUGUUCUGUUUUUUUUUUUUGGACAAGAGAUUUUCUGUUCUGUUAAUAGGCAUGGGAAGUGCAAUAGCCCAUGGGGAAAAUUCCAUGAUGCCCAGUGUGAUUAGGUUUUUACCAAAAAAAUUAUCAAAAUUAUAACUUGGAUCAGCUUAGGAUUUUUCCCCCUAACUAAGCGGUAUUCUGGUGGGGGUAAAUAAAAAUUUGGCACACUGCUUUAGGAAAGAUUAAAUAUAUUAUUAACUGAAACAUCACUUUUUGUGAUUCAUCUUUAGGCAGUCUAUCAAAAACUAAAGUGGUAUUUUCUAUACUUUCUCAAGGUCUGGAAAGCCAAGGAAAAAAAAUCCUUUCACGAUAUACUGCGGCAACAAGGACUUGUCUUAUGUGUUGAGUCAUUGUAUAUAUUGUAGUACAUUGGCAAAAUCUUUUGUUUUUUGCAUCACACUGGGGUGUUAUUACUUUAAAUUAAUGAUUUAUGCUUUCCAUUGCCCUUUUACCAGUUAAGCAGGAGUGAUAUCUGGUGGUUUUUCAAAAGAAGACAAAAAUGUCUUCCUCGAGGCCUGCCCACUCUUCCAGUUCAUCCAGUAGGACUCGCCAGAGCUCCCGGGCAAGGAUAUUAGCACAAACAACCCUUGAUGCUGAACUCAAUGCAGAGUAUGAAGAAUCUGGUGAUUCCUUUGAUUACUCCAAGUUGGUUGAAGCACAGCGGAGCACUCCAUCUGAGCAGCAAGGGCGAUCAGGAAAGGUCAUAGCCUACUUGCAGCAUAUUCAAAGAGGAAAGCUAAUCCAACCAUUUGGUUGCUUGUUGGCCCUUGACGAGAAGAGCUUCAGGGUCAUUGCAUUCAGUGAGAAUGCACCUGAAAUGCUCACAACGGUCAGCCAUGCUGUGCCAAACGUUGAUGAUCCCCCAAAGCUAGGAAUUGGUACCAAUGUGCGCUCCCUUUUCACUGACCCUGGUGCUACAGCACUGCAGAAGGCACUAGGAUUUGCUGAUGUUUCUUUGCUGAAUCCUAUCCUAGUUCAAUGCAAGACCUCAGGCAAGCCAUUCUAUGCCAUUGUUCAUAGGGCAACUGGUUGUCUGGUGGUAGAUUUUGAGCCUGUGAAGCCUACAGAAUUUCCUGCCACUGCUGCUGGGGCUUUGCAGUCUUACAAGCUUGCUGCCAAGGCAAUCUCCAAGAUCCAGUCACUGCCAGGUGGAAGCAUGGAGGCCUUAUGCAAUACCGUGGUUAAGGAAGUCUUUGAGCUUACAGGUUAUGACAGGGUUAUGGCUUACAAGUUCCAUGAAGAUGAGCAUGGGGAGGUCUUUGCUGAGAUCACCAAACCUGGUAUUGAACCUUAUCUAGGCCUGCACUAUCCAGCCACUGAUAUCCCUCAAGCUGCCAGGUUUCUCUUCAUGAAGAACAAAGUCAGAAUGAUCUGUGAUUGCCGUGCAAAAUCUGUGAAGAUUAUUGAAGAUGAGGCACUCUCCAUUGAUAUUAGCUUGUGUGGUUCAACUCUUAGAGCACCACAUAGCUGUCACCUUCAGUAUAUGGAGAACAUGAACUCGAUUGCAUCCCUUGUCAUGGCUGUUGUGGUUAAUGAAAAUGAAGAGGAUGAUGAACCUGGGCCCGAACAACCACCACAACAGCAGAAGAAGAAGAGACUGUGGGGUCUCAUUGUUUGCCACCAUGAAAGCCCCAGAUAUGUCCCGUUUCCACUGCGGUAUGCCUGUGAAUUCUUGGCCCAAGUGUUUGCUGUCCAUGUAAACAAGGAGUUUGAAUUGGAGAAGCAGAUACGAGAGAAAAGCAUUCUGCGAAUGCAAACAAUGCUCUCUGACAUGCUGUUCAAGGAAGCAUCUCCCUUGAGUAUCGUAUCUGGGAGUCCAAAUAUCAUGGACCUAGUUAAGUGUGAUGGUGCUGCUCUUUUGUAUGGGGACAAAGUCUGGCGGCUUCAAACGGCUCCAACCGAGUCUCAGAUACGUGAUAUUGCCUUCUGGCUUUCAGAAGUUCAUGGGGAUUCCACUGGCUUGAGUACUGAUAGCCUCCAGGAUGCUGGAUAUCCAGGAGCUGCUUCCCUUGGUGACAUGAUUUGUGGAAUGGCAGUGGCUAAGAUCACGUCCAAGGACAUUCUUUUCUGGUUCAGGUCACAUACAGCUGCUGAAAUCAAAUGGGGAGGUGCAAAGCAUGAUCCAUCUGAUAAGGAUGACAACAGAAGGAUGCACCCUAGGUUGUCCUUUAAGGCUUUCCUUGAGGUUGUCAAGAUGAAGAGUUUGCCAUGGAGCGACUACGAGAUGGAUGCUAUUCACUCAUUGCAACUUAUUCUUAGAGGUACACUGAAUGAUGCCUUGAAGCCGGUCCAGGCAUCUGGUUUAGAUAACCAGAUUGGUGAUCUCAAACUUGAUGGGCUUGCUGAAUUGCAAGCAGUGACAAGUGAAAUGGUUCGCCUCAUGGAAACAGCAACUGUUCCGAUCUUGGCAGUAGAUGGCAAUGGAUUGGUCAAUGGAUGGAAUCAAAAGGUAGCAGAAUUGUCAGGGUUGAGAGUUGAUGAAGCUAUAGGUAGACACAUACUUACACUUGUGGAGGAUUCUUCUGUAUCAAUUGUUCAGAGGAUGCUAUAUUUAGCUCUGCAGGGUGAGUGGAACUAAAGGUCUUAAGCACAUUUGUUAUCUGCAAUAUUUGAUUGCCAUUCUUACUAUUAAUAGUCAACCCUCAGAAAAACAAAUGAAUAAUUUAUUGUAUUAUGUAUUGAUUUCUAAAUAUUUCAUCAAUUGAGCAGGCAAAGAAGAGAAGGAAGUUCGAUUUGAGUUGAAAACACAUGGCUCCAAGAGGGAUGAUGGCCCUGUUAUCUUGGUUGUAAAUGCUUGUGCCAGUCGUGACCUUCAUGACCAUGUUGUUGGGGUGUGCUUUGUAGCCCAGGAUAUGACUGUUCAUAAGUUGGUCAUGGACAAAUUUACUCGGGUUGAGGGGGACUACAAGGCAAUCAUUCACAACCCAAACCCGCUCAUUCCUCCUAUAUUUGGUGCUGACCAAUUUGGAUGGUGCUCUGAGUGGAAUGUAGCCAUGACCAAGCUUACUGGGUGGCACAGAGAUGAAGUGAUAGAUAAGAUGCUCCUUGGUGAGGUUUUUGACAGUAGCAAUGCUUCCUGCCUUUUGAAGAGCAAAGAUGAUUUUGUACGUCUUUGCAUUAUCAUCAACAGUGCAUUAGCCGGUGAAGAGGCAGAAAAUGCUCCAUUCGGUUUGUUUGACCGCAAUGGGAAAUAUAUUGAAUGCCUUCUGUCAGUGAACAGAAAAGUAAAUGCAGAUGGUGUUGUCACUGGAGUGUUCUGUUUCAUUCAUGUUCCUAGUGAUGACCUGCAGCAUGCGCUACAUGUGCAGCAAGCCUCUGAGCAGACAGCACAAAGAAGGUUGAAGGCUUUCUCGUACAUGCGACAUGCCAUCAACAAACCUCUCUCAGGUAUGCUUUAUUCUAGGGAAACACUCAAGAGCACAGGUCUGAAUGAAGAGCAGAUGAGGCAGGUCCAUGUUGCAGAUAGUUGUCAUCGCCAGCUAAACAAGAUACUUGCCGACUUAGAUCAAGAUAACAUUACUGACAAGUAAUCUUCUAGUCUUUUAAACUGUUCUAUUAGGUUAUUGUGUUUACUUUCAUCUACCUCGUUAUUUGACAACUUUCUGAACUGUAGGUUAAUGGUAUCACUUAAUUUUAUUUCACUAACUACUACUGAAGCUUAUAGCCAUAUUCGUUACUACCAACUUAAUAUUUAUGUACCAUUAUGUUCACAGGUCAAGUUGCUUGGAUUUGGAUAUGGCUGAAUUUGUGUUGGAAGAUGUGGUGGUGUCUGCUGUAAGUCAAGUACUGAUAGGUUGCCAGGGUAAAGGUAUCAGAGUUGCUUGCAACCUGCCAGAGAGAUUCAUGAAGCAAAAAGUUUACGGGGAUGGUAUCCGACUCCAACAGAUCCUCUCCGACUUCUUAUUUGUUUCGGUGAAGUUCUCUCCUGUUGGUGGCUCUGUUGAUAUCUCUUCCAAACUGACUAAGAACAGCAUUGGGGAAAACCUUCAUCUCAUAGACUUCGAACUUAGGUACACUUGCCAUGCUAAUUUGCAUGCAUACACUCAUUUCUGAAUAGGAAAUCAUAAGGUAUGAAGGCUUAAAUUACUCUUGUGUUUAUGGAUUUAUGGUUUUCAGGAUCAAGCACCAAGGAGCAGGAGUCCCAGCAGAAAUAUUGUCACAAAUGUAUGAGGAGGACAAUAAAGAGCAGUCAGAGGAGGGUUUGAGCCUUCUUGUUUCUAGAAACCUUCUGAGGCUCAUGAAUGGUAACAUUCGUCACCUCAGGGAAGCUGGCAUGUCAACCUUCAUCCUCACUGCUGAACUUGCUGCUGCUCCUUCAGCAGUUGGACAAUGAAGCCAUCACAUGGUAUGUUCGCUAGUUUGGGUUAAGGUAGUCUGCUGUGUUUGUUUCCACUCAACUGUUUUUUUAACAUAAAACUGUCAGGAGUUUUGCCAGAAUUAUAUAUUUAAACAAAGAAGGGGAACUGCUGGUUAUAUAGACCUACUUUCUUGAUUUUGCCCUGUAACCUCUGUUACAAACAUUAAAGUUUUUUUUGUGACUGAUACCUGCCACAAAAACAUGUGACCUUGAUUCGCUUAGCUAAGGAUAAAAUAGCUCUGCAAUUUCCCAAAUCUCCUACUAUGGUUAUUUGAUGAAUGAACAAGAUACCCAUGUUCUUUCUAUAUGAGGGGUAAAGAUACAUAGAUCUCCUGCAUAUUCUCGGAAGGAAACAAUACAGAACAGAGGAUAACAAUUAUGGCUAAUUCCAAUUAAUUGGUUUAUGUGUAUUGUUUAAUGUGCACUUCAAGCAACUCUUUGCUAAAGAAUUUUUUUUCUGCCCUUGAUACCAGCUC